UACGUAGGGUGCAGGCGUUAAUCGGAAUUACUGGGCGUAAAGCGUGCGCAGGCGGUUUGCUAAGACAGGUGUGAAAUCCCCGGGCUUAACCUGGGAACUGCGCUUGUUACUGGCAGGCUUGAGUGUGGCAGAGGGGGGUGGAAUUCCACGUGUAGCAGUGAAAUGCGUAGAGAUGUGGAGGAACACCGAUGGCGAAGGCAGCCCCCUGGGCUAACACUGACGCUCAUGCACGAAAGCGUGGGGAUCAAACAGG
rnacentral:rRNA from 1 species